rnacentral:rRNA from 1 species
ACGACUCUCGGCAACGGAUAUCUCGGCUCACGCAUCGAUGAAGAACGUAGCAAAAUGCGAUACUUGGUGUGAAAUGCAGAAUCCCGUGAACCAUCGAGUUUUUGAACGCAAGUUGCGCCCGAAGCCAUUCGGCCGAGGGCACGUCUGCCUGGGCGUCACGC